rnacentral:rRNA from 1 species
GGGUGAGUAACACGUGAGUAACCUGCCCUAGGCUUUGGGAUAACCCCGGGAAACCGGGGCUAAUACCGGAUAUGACUGGCUGCCGCAUGGUGGUUGGUGGAAAGAUUUUUCGGCUUGGGAUGGACUCGCGGCCUAUCAGCUUGUUGGUGGGGUAAUGGCCUACCAAGGCGGCGACGGGUAGCCGGCCUGAGAGGGCGACCGGCCACACUGGGACUGAGACACGGCCCAGACUCCUACGGGAGGCAGCAGUGGGGAAUCUUGCACAAUGGGCGGAAGCCUGAUGCAGCGACGCCGCGUGAGGGAUGACGGCCUUCGGGUUGUAAACCUCUUUCAGCAGGGACGAAGCGUUUGUGACGGUACCUGCAGAAGAAGCGCCGGCCAACUACGUGCCAGCAGCCGCGGUAAGACGUAGGGCGCGAGCGUUGUCCGGAUUUAUUGGGCGUAAAGAGCUCGUAGGCGGCUUGUCGCGUCGACUGUGAAAACCCGUGGCUCAACUGCGGGCUUGCAGUCGAUACGGGCAGGCUAGAGUUCGGUAGGGGAGACUGG